AAGUCGUAACAAGGUUUCCGUAGGUGAACCUGCGGAAGGAUCAUUAACGAACAAAGGGUUCACUAGUUUGAAUCUUUUGGGAUCAACCAAAACCUGUAAGAUAAUAGCAUUUCGGAUUAAUAUUCGAAUGCACAAUCAUUUAAUAAAAUACAAAACUUUCAACAACGGAUCUCUUGGCUCUU
rnacentral:misc_RNA from 1 species